UACGUAGGGGGCAAGCGUUAUCCGGAUUUACUGGGUGUAAAGGGUGCGUAGGUGGCAUGGUAAGUCAGAAGUGAAAACCCGGGGCUCAACCCCGAGGAUUGCUUUUGAAACUAUCAAGCUAGAGUACAGGAGAGGCAAGUGGAAUUCCUAGUGUAGCGGUGAAAUGCGUAGAUAUUAGGAGGAACACCAGUGGCGAAGGCGGCUUGCUGGACUGUAACUGACACUGAGGCACGAAAGCGUGGGGAGCAAACAGGAUUAGAUAC
rnacentral:rRNA from 1 species